rnacentral:tRNA from 1 species
GGCCAGGUAGCUCAGUUGGAAGAGCAACCCAGCACAAUUGGGGAAGGCCCCAGGUUUGAUCCCUGGUCUGGCCA